rnacentral:rRNA from 1 species
CCUACGGGAGGCAGCAGUGAGGAAUAUUGGUCAAUGGCCGAGAGGCUGAACCAGCCAAGUCGCGUGAGGGAAGACGGCCCUACGGGUUGUAAACCUCUUUUGUCGGGGAGCAAAGCGAGUCACGUGUGACUCAUUGAGAGUACCCGAAGAAAAAGCAUCGGCUAACUCCGUGACAGCAGCCGCGGUAAUACGGAGGAUGCGAGCGUUAUCCGGAUUGAGUGGGUUUAAAGGGUGCGCAGGCGGAGGUGCAAGUCAGCGGUCAAAUUGCGGGGCUCAACCCCGUACUGCCGUUGAAACUGCAGCCCUUGAGUGCGCGAGAAGUAGGCGGAAUGCGUAGUGUAGCGGUGAAAUGCAUAGAUAUCACGAAGAACUCCGAUUGCGAAGGCAGCAUACCGGCGCGCAACUGACGCUGAUGCACGAAAGCGUGGGUAUCGAACAGGAUUAGAUACCCUAGUAGUC